UCACACCCGCGUCUUUGUCCCUUGGAGGAACUGCGAUCAAAAGACAUUGUGCUUUAGCGGACUCAAGGUGCUGCACACGUGGCAGUAAAGGUUCCCGUGUGGUCGUCGGGAUGCUGAGCUGUAAAUCUGGUUGCUACUGAAAUACAAACGCCGCUGACAGGUGCGGCCUCAGUGUCCCAGUUAGUUCACCGAGGUGAUUCGAGAAGUGCUUGUCCGUGUUAAGUGAUCUAACGGGCUGGUUAAGUGAUCUAACGUAAGAUUUUCCAGAGCUCUCGAAGCCUCCGCUUCUGUUUCAUUCGGUCUUCCUGGCUGAAGCUCUACUCUCUGCUGUGUCUGCCAGCAUACUUUAAAUUCCUUCCCUUAUUCCCACUAAGGCUUGAUGUGCCUUGUAGGGGAAAUUUCCAGGCCAAUGAUCUUGGUGAGAGGCCUUUGUAGGAAAAUUCAACCGACUCUUAUCAAGCAUAUAAUAUAUAAAAAAUCAUGUUCAAAACUGAAAAGGAGCAUACCCCAAGUAGUUUUUUUGGGAGCAGUGGCCAAGAGAGCCCAAAGAGCAGCAGUGACUGCCUAGAUCUCCCUGAGCUCAGAGGAGACUGUGCAGGUUUGGUCCUCUGCUGGAGUGGGCAAUUUUGUUGCUCCCCUGAGAAUGAUUCAGCAUCCUGCUUCCUUUAAGCAUCUCUCUGUGAAACACUGACCUUCAUGCUGGAGCCCAGACAGCUGACAGGACCUUUUGUGGGGCAGAACUCCCAGUCAGCCUAGAAGAAUACCCGCCUCAGGUUGAAACAGCUUCCGAGGGCAUUGCGUUCCACCCACCUACACUGGUACUGAGGCCAACAACUUCUGCUUGUGUUCAACUAAAGCAACAUUUCUCCUUAUAGAAAGUAUUUUGGUUUUCCUUUCUCUACUGGAAGAAACUGAGCAACUGCUGCCAGCUGCAGGGAACAUGCAUUGGCGAGUACUGUAUUUCCAGAAAGUUCUUCCAUAAAGACAUGUUGUACUCAGGAAAGCACUGAAAAAUGAAGGAUCCACCAUAUUUCUUCAUGGUUUGUCCUAGUAAUUAAACAGCUGUACUUUUAAAUUUUAAUCUGUCUGGCUUCUAUUUCCAGCUACUCUUUAUGCCAUUCUCUGUUAAAGUGCCCUUUGUUUCUUUUUGUCUCCCUGAGGAGAUUAUGACACAUCACAACCAUAUUUUCUAUCAGCUUUUUUUUCAAUAGAGUAACAUUGGGAGAUUUUUAAAGCUUAACUAGCAGUGUUAGCCCUCAAUAACUUCUUUUCUCUUGCAGUAUUCCUUUUUUUCCUUCUUUCUU